rnacentral:tRNA from 1 species
GGCGGCGUAGCUCAGUUGGUUAGAGCACAGGAUUCAUAACCCUGAGGUCAGUGGUUCAAAUCCACUCGCCGCUACCA